ACGGGAGGCAGCAGUGGGGAAUAUUGCACAAUGGGCGAAAGCCUGAUGCAGCGACGCCGCGUGAGUGAAGAAGUAUUUCGGUAUGUAAAGCUCUAUCAGCAGGGAAGAAAAUGACGGUACCUGACUAAGAAGCCCCGGCUAACUACGUGCCAGCAGCCGCGGUAAUACGUAGGGAGCAAGCGUUAUCCGGAAUUACUGGGUGUAAAGGGAGUGUAGGCGGGACUGUAAGUCAGAUGUGAAAUAUGCCGGCUCAACUGGCAGACUGCAUUUGAAACUGCGGUUCUUGAGUGAAGUAGAGGUAGGCGGAAUUCCGAGUGUAGCGGUGAAAUGCGUAGAUAUUCGGAGGAACACCAGUGGCGAAGGCGGCCUACUGGGCUUUAACUGACGCUGAGGCUCGAAAGUGUGGGGAGCAAACAGGAUUAGAUACCCUGGUA
rnacentral:rRNA from 1 species